rnacentral:rRNA from 1 species
UAUCCGGCCUGAGAGGGUGAACGGACACACUGGAACUGAGACACGGUCCAGACUCCUACGGGAGGCAGCAGUAGGGAAUAUUGCUCAAUGGGCGCAAGCCUGAAGCAGCAACGCCGCGUGGAGGAUGAAGGUUUUAGGAUUGUAAACUCCUUUUGUGAGAGAAGAUAAUGACGGUAUCUCACGAAUAAGCACCGGCUAACUCCGUGCCAGCAGCCGCGGUAAUACGGAGGGUGCAAGCGUUACUCGGAAUCACUGGGCGUAAAGAGUGCGUAGGCGGGGUUGUAAGUCAGGUGUGAAAUCCUAUGGCUUAACCAUAGAACUGCAUUUGAAACUACAACUCUGGAGUGUGGGAGAGGUAGGUGGA